rnacentral:rRNA from 1 species
AACGAACGCUGGCGGCAUGCCUAACACAUGCAAGUCGAACGAGACCUUCGGGUCUAGUGGCGCACGGGUGCGUAACGCGUGGGAACCUGCCCUUAGGUUCGGAAUAACUCCCCGAAAGGGGGGCUAAUACCGGAUAAUGUCUUCGGACCAAAGAUUUAUCGCCUUUGUAUGGGCCCGCGUUGUAUUAGCUAGGUGGUAGGGUAAAAGCCUACCAAGGCGACGAUCCAUAGCUGGUCUGAGAGGAUGAUCAGCCACACUGGGACUGAGACACGGCCCAGACUCCUACGGGAGGCAGCAGUGGGGAAUAUUGGAAAAUGGGCGAAAGCCUGAUCCAGCAAUGGCGCGUGAGUGAUGAAGGCCUUAGGGUUGUAAAGCACUUUUACCCGGGAUGAUACUGACAGUACCGGGAGAAUAAGCUCCGGCUAACUCCGUG